rnacentral:rRNA from 1 species
UGCUGUUUCGCUGACGAGUGGCGGACGGGUGAGUAAUGUCUGGGAAACUGCCUGAUGGAGGGGGAUAACUACUGGAAACGGUAGUUAAUACCGCAUAACGUCGCAAGACCAAAGAGGGGGACCUUCGGGCCUCUUGCCAUCGGAUGUGCCCAGAUGGGAUUAGCUAGUAGGUGGGGUAACGGCUCACCUAGGCGACGAUCCCUAGCUGGUCUGAGAGGAUGACCAGCCACACUGGAACUGAGACACGGUCCAGACUCCUACGGGAGGCAGCAGUGGGGAAUAUUGCACAAUGGGCGCAAGCCUGAUGCAGCCAUGCCGCGUGUAUGAAGAAGGCCUUCGGGUUGUAAAGUACUUUCAGCGGGGAGGAAGGGAGUAAAGUUAAUACCUUUGCUC